ACUCUGACUACCUCACUUGGUAGAGCAUGAGACUCUUAAUCUCAGGGUUGUGGGUUAAAGCCCUACGUUGGGUG
rnacentral:tRNA from 1 species